rnacentral:lncRNA from 1 species
GGAGGAGAAUAAGGGGAUUCGUCCGAAAAUUGGAUGGAGGGGCGUUCGUCGGUGAAAGGAAGGAGAGACCCGCAGGAGAAGAAGGGGGAUCGCCUGAAAGUUGGAUGGAGAGGCGACUGUCAACAGAAAGGAGGAGGAAACUGGUGUAUCUUAAUUCGUGAUCGGACUCGGAUACCGGAGGCGGUGGCAUCGGUGAUGAGGAGGAAGAGGAGGGGGG